rnacentral:rRNA from 1 species
AACAAACGCUGGCGGCGUGCCUAAUACAUGCAAGUCGAACGGGGAAAGCUUUCGGGUGAGUACUAGUGGCGCACGGGUGAGGAACGCGUGGAUAAUCUGCCUUAGAGUGGGGGAUAACUAGUCGAAAGAUUAGCUAAUACCGCAUAAGACCACGAGAGCUGCGGCUUUUGAGGUCAAAGGUUUUUCGCUCUAAGAUGAGUCCGCGUAAGAUUAGCUAGUUGGUGAGGUAACGGCUCACCAAGGCGACGAUCUUUAACUGGUCUGAGAGGAUGAUCAGUCACACUGGAACUGAGACACGGUCCAGACUCCUACGGGAGGCAGCAGUAGGGAAUAUUGCACAAUGGAGGAAACUCUGACGCAGCGACGCCGCGUGAGUGAUGAAGGCCUUCGGGUCGUAAAGCUCUGUCGCAGGGGAAUAACACAAUGAAGGUACCCUGUAAGAAAGGAUCGGCUAACUUCGUG